UAGGAGCGUGCCUAGGGUUCCGCACAGUUAGCGCUGUGGUCUGGACCGAGCGGCACGGGUGCAGCGCUGCACUACACCGUGGGGAUAAAAGACCCUGGCGGA
rnacentral:sRNA from 1 species